UACAGAGGUCCCAAGCGUUGUUCGGAUUCACUGGGCGUAAAGGGUGCGUAGGUGGUGAGGUAAGUUUGAUGUGAAAGCUCCGGGCUUAACCCGGAAAAUGCAUUGAAUACUACUUUGCUAGAGGGUUGGAGGGGAGACUGGAAUUCUCGGUGUAGCAGUGAAAUGCGUAGAGAUGUGGAGGAACACCGAUGGCGAAGGCAGCCUCCUGGUCCAGCACUGACGCUCAUGCACGAAAGCGUGGGGAGCAAACAGG
rnacentral:rRNA from 1 species